rnacentral:rRNA from 1 species
UACGGGGGAGCAAGCGUUGUUCGGAUUUACUGGGCGUAAAGGGCGCGUAGGCGGUCAGCACAAGUCAGUUGUGAAAUCUCCGGGCUUAACUCGGAAAGGUCAACUGAUACUGUGCGACUAGAGUGCGGAAGGGGCAACUGGAAUUCUCGGUGUAGCGGUGAAAUGCGUAGAUAUCGAGAGGAACACCUGCGGCGAAGGCGGGUUGCUGGGCCGACACUGACGCUGAUGCGCGAAAGCCAGGGAGCGAACGGG